UACGUAGGGGGCAAGCGUUGUCCGGAUUUACUGGGCGUAAAGAGCGCGUAGGCGGAAGCUUAAGCGUGGCCUGAAAGCCCCCGGCUCAACCGGGGAGGUGGCUGCGAACGGGCUUCUUGGAGGGCGAUAGAGGAGGAGCGGAAUUCCGUGGUGUAGCGGUGAAAAUGCGUAGAUAUCAGGAGGAACACCCGUGGCGAAGGCGGCUCUCUGGGUCGGACCUGACGCUGAGGCGCGAAAGCGUGGGGAGCGAACGGG
rnacentral:rRNA from 1 species